UAGAAAUAUCGCACUGAUAUGGUUAUGGAUCUGAAGUCUCUUGAAGGACAAUAUAGGUACUCCGUAACCUACUCCGACUCAAUACAUCCACGACGUACAGAACAGUAAGAUAUCUCUCCAAAUAUCUGAGGUUUGGUAUUCGGCGACACCCAACUCCUUGGAAAGAUGUGAUAAAUGCCUAAAUUGAGCGGA
rnacentral:ribozyme from 1 species